rnacentral:rRNA from 1 species
UACGUAGGGUGCAAGCGUUUAAUCGGAAUACUGGGCGUAAAGCGUGCGCAGGCGGUUUUGUAAGUUUGUCGUGAAAGCCCCGGGCUCAACCUGGGAAUUGCGAUGAAGACUGCAAGGCUUGAAUCUGGCAGAGGGGGGUAGAAUUCCACGUGUAGCAGUGAAAUGCGUAGAGAUGUGGAGGAACACCGAUGGCGAAGGCGGCCCCCUGGGUCAAGAUUGACGCUCAUGCACGAAAGCGUGGGGAGCAAACAGG